UUCCUCCCCUUUCACUUCCCUUGCUUGUUCUUUCUUUUCCUCCUCAAGCUGAGCUCCCAGCUCACUUCUCCUCCCCAAAUCCCAUCUAAGAACCCAAACUCAAGCUCUGCAUGUUAGACCACAGCAAUCCCCAUCAUCCAAGCUUUUCAUCCGUACCAACAUCUUGCACAUGCAUGGAGAGUUGUGGGAGAUCGAAAUAGGAGAAGAGAGUGGUGGUUUCAGCCUGCAUGGUUGCAGCAGCAAUAUGACUUUGUUUCCCUCCAUUUGGUCGUCCACCUCCAUUAUUGCAGCUAGGAGGUGGCUGCAGCUCAUCCGGUGUUAAUCUCUUUUGAUUUCGGUGGAAGCAGCCCCAAUCUCCAUUUUAAUUGUAUCUAUAGGUGAGGAUCCCGACGUUGAGCUGUGUUUCUUGUGUGGUCACUAUGCUCCCGGGGGCAGUGAGGGCAGUGACUAGUUCUUGCAGCUUGGCUCUUGCCCGGUCGGUUGCCCUAGUGGGGUUUGGCGCCACCGGUUUUAUCUUUUGCUUAUGAAAUCUAGAUGAGACUUCCGCUGCAAUAUUUAUGUGUUGUAUGUUGGGACCUCGGACCCUAUUUUGUGUCAUGUACCUCGCUGCACUUUAACCCUAUUAUGGUACUUGCUAUGUUUAUUAA